AUACGGAGGGUGCAAGCGUUGUUCGGAAUUACUGGGCGUAAAGCGCGCGUAGGCGGUCUGUUAUGUCAGAUGUGAAAGUCCUCGGCUCAACCGGGGAAGUGCAUUUGAAACUGGCAGACUUGAGUACUGGAGGGGGUGGUGGAAUUCCCGGUGUAGAGGUGAAAUUCGUAGAUAGCGGGAGGAAUACCGGUGGCGAAGGCGACCACCUGGCCAGAUACUGACGCUGAGGUGCGAAAGCGUGGGGAGCAAACAGGAUUAGAAACCCCGGUAGUCC
rnacentral:rRNA from 1 species